rnacentral:SRP_RNA from 1 species
GCUGGGUGCAGUGGUGUGCACCUGUAGUCCUAGCUACUUGGGAGGCUGAGGCAGGAGGAUCACUUGAGCUCGGGAGUAUGAGUCCAGCCUGGGCAACACAGCAAGACCCUGCCUCUA